rnacentral:rRNA from 1 species
AGCGAACGCUGGCGGCAGGCCUAACACAUGCAAGUCGAACGCCCCUUCGGGGGAGUGGCGGACGGGUGAGUAACACGUGGGAACGUACCUUUUGGUUCGGAACAACUGAGGGAAACUUCAGCUAAUACCGGAUAAGCCCUUUUGGGGAAAGAUUUAUCGCCGAAAGAUCGGCCCGCGUUGGAUUAGGUAGUUGGUGGGGUAAAGGCCUACCAAGCCUACGAUCCAUAGCUGGUCUGAGAGGAUGAUCAGCCACACUGGGACUGAGACACGGCCCAGACUCCUACGGGAGGCAGCAGUGGGGAAUCUUGCGCAAUGGUCGAAAGACUGACGCAGCCAUGCCGCGUGAAUGAUGAAGGUCUUAGGAUUGUAGAAUUCUUUUACCGGUGACGAUAAUGACGGUAACCGGAGAAAAAGCCCCGGCUAACUUCGUGCCAGCAGCCGCAGUAA